rnacentral:rRNA from 1 species
AUUGAACGCUGGCGGCAGGCCUAACACAUGCAAGUCGAACGAGUGGCGGACGGGUGAGUAAUGUCUGGGAAACUGACUGAUGGAGGGGGAUAACUACUGGAAACGGUAGCUAAUACCGCAUACCAUCGGAUGUUCCCAGAUGGGAUUAGCUAGUAGGUGGGGUAACGGCGCACAUAGGCGACGAUCCCUAGCUGGUCUGAGAGGAUGACCAGCCAGACUGGCACUGAGACACGGUCCAGAUUCGUACGGGAGGCAGCAGUGGGGAAUAUUGCACAAUGGGCGCAAGCCUGAUGCAGCCAUGCCGCGUGGAUGAAGAAGGCCUUCGGGUUGUAAAGUAAUUUCAGCGGGGAGGCGUUACCUGAAGAAGAAGCACCGGAUAACUCCGUGCCAGGAGCCGCGGUAAUAC